rnacentral:rRNA from 1 species
UCUGGUAGUAGUGGGGGGAGGUCGACACCCGUUCCCUUCCCGAACACGGUAGUUAAGCUUCUCUGCGCCAAUGGUAGUUGGGGGCUUCCCCCUGCGAGAGUAGGUCGCUGCCGGGC